UACAGAGGGUGCGAGCGUUAAUCGGAAUUACUGGGCGUAAAGGGUGCGUAGGUGGUUAAAUAAGUUGGGCGUGAAAUCCCCGGGCUCAACCUGGGAACUGCGUUCAAAACUAUUUGGCUAGAGUAUGGUAGAGGUAAGUGGAAUUUCCAGUGUAGCGGUGAAAUGCGUAGAUAUUGGAAGGAACAUCAGUGGCGAAGGCGACUUACUGGACUGAUACUGACACUGAGGCACGAAAGCGUGGGGAUCAAACAGG
rnacentral:rRNA from 1 species